rnacentral:rRNA from 1 species
UGCAGCGACGCCGCGUGAUGAUGAAGGCCUUCGGGUUGUAAAGUUCUGUCCUUGGUGAAGAUAAUGACUGUAACCAAGAAGCAAGCCCUGGCUAAAUACGUGCCAGCAGCCGCGGUAAUACGUAUGGGGCAAGCGUUGUCCGGAAUUAUUGGGCGUAAAGGGUACGUAGGCGGUUUACUAAGUCUGAAUUAAAAGGCAGUGGCUCAACCAUUGUAAGGUUUAGAUACUGGUAAACUUGAGUAGAUGAGGGGAAAGUGGAAUUCCAUGUGUAGCGGUGAAAUGCGUAGAUAUAUGGAGGAACACCUGUGGCGAAGGCGACUUUCUGGAAUCUAACUGACGCUGAGGUACGAAGGCGUGGGGAGCAAACA